UACGUAGGUGGCAAGCGUUGUCCGGAAUUAUUGGGCGUAAAGCGCGCGCAGGCGGUUUCUUAAGUCUGAUGUGAAAUCUUGCGGCUCAACCGCAAGCGGUCAUUGGAAACUGGGGAACUUGAGGACAGAAGAGGAGAGUGGAAUUCCACGUGUAGCGGUGAAAUGCGUAGAUAUGUGGAGGAACACCAGUGGCGAAGGCGACUCUCUGGUCUGUUACUGACGCUGAGGCGCGAAAGCGUGGGGAGCAAACAGG
rnacentral:rRNA from 1 species